rnacentral:sRNA from 1 species
UAGCUGUUGAAGAACAGCGCCGAUAGCC